rnacentral:tRNA from 1 species
UCCCUGGUGGUCCAGCGGCUAAGACUCCGUGCUCCCAAUGCGGGGCGCCUAGGUUCAAUCCCUAGUCAGGGAA